rnacentral:tRNA from 1 species
GCCUUCAUGGUGUAACGGCAGCACACUCGGGGGGUAUUCGAGAGGUCCAGGUUCGAAUCCCGGCGAUGGCA